UCUUGCGCAAUGGGCGAAAGCCUGACGCAGCGACGCCGCGUGGGGGAUGAAGGCCUUCGGGUUGUAAACCCCUUUCAGGAGGGAAGAUGGGACGGGCAACCGUUCGGACGGUACCAUCAGAAGCAGCCACGGCUAACUCUGUGCCAGCAGCCGCGGUAAGACAGAGGUGGCAAGCGUUGUUCGGAUUUACUGGGCGUAAAGGGUGCGUAGGUGGUUAGGUAAGACCUGCGGGAAAGACCUGGGCUUAACCCAGGAAGGUCGUAGGUGACUGCCUGGCUAGAGGGCGGGAGAGGAGAGCGGAAUUCCCGGUGUAGCGGUGAAAUGCGUAGAGAUCGGGAGGAAGGCCGGUGGCGAAGGCGGCUCUCUGGAACGUUCCUGACACUGAGCACGAAA
rnacentral:rRNA from 1 species